rnacentral:lncRNA from 1 species
AAGCACACUCACUGCAAAGACUAUUAUACGAUAUUCAUCCGUAAGACCAGUACAAUCCAAAGCUUAUUCUCCGACACGCAGUUUAAAAGUCUCAAGGAAAAAGGAGUGAACCUUAGCAGCAGGCAAAGACCAUAGGCGAAUGGCGCUAGACCGGGAACAAGAUCCCCUCGAUAUACAACAGCAAAGGCAUUAGGCCCGGACUCAAAGAAAGAAAAAUUCCCCCCAUCAGAUCAGG